rnacentral:lncRNA from 1 species
AUCAUUAGUUAGCCAGGUUUGAAUGUUCACAUUUUAAAAAUCAGGCUCAUUUUGUGCUAUCUAAAUAAAAGUCACAAAGAUACAGCUUUCCACUCCAUGUUCUAUGUGGAGUAACCAAUCAUCCUGAACUCAAAAAGAGGAAAUUAUGUUGAAUAUGGCUACAGUUAAUGGCAUAAGCCUAAACUAAAUUAAUUUCUUCAUAGUCUUUUUUUAUAUUAAGUUACUGUGCUUCCUAGCUAUGUUGCUGAUUUGUCCAUCAGGAUUUGAUUCUCAGUGCGACGGACGAUGAAGACUAAAAGGAAACUCCCAUAGAUGAUCUGGUCAGGAGUUCUCAUGGAAGCAGUACCGCCCCCUAGGUGACAGAGUGGAAAUUUAUGAGGGUAUUCUGGUGGUACAAUGAAGGAUUUUUCUGGUUUUUUUUUGAGAUGGAGUCUCACUCUGUUGCCCAGACUGGAAUGCAGUGGUGUGAUCUCAACUGACUGCAACCUCCGUAUCCUGGGUUCAAGCAACUCUCCUGCUGCAGCCACGAAAAAUGAGGAAGCUGUGAGUACCAGUGGAAGGAACGAGCCAGGAAGAGGGACUGGAACCAUCUCAGAAGCCAUGCCCCUCAGGCUGGAACUUGCCCUGUCUCCUCGCAGAUGAGCUACCUCUUGUGUUUAAGAAUUAAAGGAAGAUGAGCUAGGAAUCAAGAAAUACGCAGAACUGAUUCCUGUCACUGGCGCCACCCUGCCACUUGCCCAGAGCUGUGGUAUAAAUUUUUUUAAUAGGCUGAAAUAAAAAUAUGAAUAGCAUUUUGGUAUUAAGCAUUAAAUUGAUAAAGGCUAUGAGAUACACCUGCUCUCAACCAUGUUAAUUUUUUAUUAUUGGUAUUAAUAAAUUAUUACUUACUAACAUAUUAACAAGAAUUGCAUUGAGAAACAAAGCAUCCACAGGCCAAAUCUUCUGAAUUUCAAAUGUUUAUAUUAAUGCGUUGUAUUCUAGAAAAGUAGAAUUGUCUUAAGUAGCUUUGUAAUAUAAAGUCAUCUAUCAGCCCAUUACACCUAUUAGAAUGUUUUAACCUUUAUUUCCCACUUUUUUGUUUCUAGACUGAGUGUACUUGGUCUGGUAUUUGUGGCAUAACUUACGGAACACAUAAGAAUGAUACAGAUACUAUUUAAUGAUGACCUAAUACAAGCUUAGAUAGCUAAGGUGAAAGCUUCUAUGGCCUUAACAUUUUCCUCUUGAAGAAUGUAUUUUCUGUAAUAAAAUACAGUGGCUACUUGAAAUCUAUAAACUUAUGUGAGGUCUGGAUAAAUCUGAGCAACUUUCUUCUUUGUGCUCCAGGAACCUACGCACUAUAUAUAUAAAUAAAGCUUAAGUAAACAUCACUGCAAUCUGUGUUUUGUUUGAUUAUAUUACGUAUUGCCUGAUCUUUAAAUAAUGAUGAAAAAUAGCCUUUAACAUAAACCAUGAAUGGAUAUGCACUUGAGGGAAACAGUUUCUUGGAUAAUUAAACUUUAAUUUCUCACCGUGGAUUCCUUGGAUCUUGUAAUAUUUUUUAAAACAGUCCUGGGGAUUUAUUUUUAAGGCGUCCAAAUGAAUUAUUA